AACGAACGCUGGCGGCAUGCCUAACACAUGCAAGUCGAACGAAGCCUUCGGGCUUAGUGGCGCACGGGUGCGUAACGCGUGGGAAUCUGCCCCUCGGUUCGGAAUAACAGUUAGAAAUGACUGCUAAUACCGGAUGAUGACGAAAGUCCAAAGAUUUAUCGCCGAGGGAUGAGCCCGCGUAGGAUUAGCUUGUUGGUGGGGUAAUGGCCCACCAAGGCGACGAUCCUUAGCUGGUCUGAGAGGAUGAUCAGCCACACUGGGACUGAGACACGGCCCAGACUCCUACGGGAGGCAGCAGUGGGGAAUAUUGGACAAUGGGCGAAAGCCUGAUCCAGCAAUGCCGCGUGAGUGAUGAAGGCCUUAGGGUUGUAAAGCUCUUUUACCAGGGAUGAUAAUGACAGAACCUGGAGAAUAAAGCUCCGGCUAACUCCGUGCCAGCAGCCGCGGUAAAACGUCUAACUG
rnacentral:rRNA from 1 species